rnacentral:rRNA from 1 species
UACGUAGGGUGCAGGCGUUAAUCGGAAUUACUGGGCGUAAAGCGUGCGCAGGCGGUUUCUUAAGUCAGAUUUGAAAGCCCCGGGCUUAACCUGGGAACUGCGUUUGAAGCUGGGAGACUUGAGUGUGGCAGAGGGGGGUGGAAUUCCACGUGUAGCAGUGAAAUGCGUAGAUAUGUGGAGGAACACCGAUGGCGAAGGCAGCCCCCUGGGUUAACACUGACGCUCAUGCACGAAAGCGUGGGGAGCAAACAGG